UAUGCAUUGUUUUCAUGCUAAUGUUGAUUUCAUAGCGGAAACCUGACUUUAUAAUGAAUCCUCUUUGAUUAAAUAUGAUAAGUAUCUUGUUCCUUUCGGGUUUGUUUCAGUAAGCAGAAACAAUGGAACAAGAACAAUUGGGCCAUUGUUUGUGCCCACUAAAGCAAAUUACGAAAGUGGUUUGAGAGCAGCUGCGACGUGCCAUGCAAAUGUUAAGGCGUUCCGGUUGAAUGAGUAUGAG